rnacentral:miRNA from 1 species
AGUCCGUCUCUGGGCUGCAAGGC